rnacentral:sRNA from 14 species
GUCACGAACCCACCGCCCACGCCUAACGGCUAUAACGGGGGCUUGAAAAAGUCCAUGACGUGACCAGCCUAAGACUAUUGAGUCUACGUUUUUUGAGCUAUCACACCUUUAGAUGCGUCGCUAGUCUUCUGCUCUGUG